AUUGAACGCUGGCGACAGGCCUAACACAUGCAAGUCGAACGAGUGGCGGACGGGUGAGUAAUGUCUGGGAAACUGCCCGAUGGAGGGGGAUAACUACUGGCAACGGUAGCUAAUACCGCAUACCAUCGGAUGGGCCCAGAUGGGAUUAGCUAGUAGGUGGGGUAAUGGCGCACCUAGGAGACGAUCCCUAGCUGGUCUGAGAGGAGGACCAGCCACACAGGAACAGAGACACGGGCUAGACUCCGAGGGGAGGCAGCAGGGGGGAAUAUGGCACAAUGGGCAAAAGCCUGAUGCAGCCAUGCCGGGUGUAUGAAGAAGGCCUGCGGUUUGGAAAGUACUUGCAGCGGGGAGGCGUUACCCGCAGAAGAAGCACCGGCGAACUCCGUGCCAGCAGGAGCGUAAUUC
rnacentral:rRNA from 1 species